rnacentral:misc_RNA from 1 species
GUUUUAUAUCACCAACACAAUAGAAAAUGGUGGAUGCAGAUUGAAGUUGCAUGUCUGCAUAUGAGGUGUGAGAAAUUAAGCUUUCAGGUACCCUUUUUUGUCCAAGUAUGAAAUAACAAUAUCGGCCAAAUCAUUAGGAGAGUCACAUAGCCCUUGGUUCUGACGUAAAACUAUCUCAGAUGUUAGGGGUGGCUCGUAUGGAUCAUCAACACCGGUAAAACCUUUUAUUUUCCCAGCUCGAGCAAGUUUG